rnacentral:rRNA from 1 species
GUGAGUAAUGCAUGGGAAUCUGCCCGAUAGUGGGGGAUAACCUGGGGAAACCCAGGCUAAUACCGCAUACGUCCUACGGGAGAAAGCAGGGGAUCUUCGGACCUUGCGCUAUCGGAUGAGCCCAUGUCGGAUUAGCUUGUUGGUGAGGUAAUGGCUCACCAAGGCGACGAUCCGUAGCUGGUCUGAGAGGAUGAUCAGCCACAUCGGGACUGAGACACGGCCCGAACUCCUACGGGAGGCAGCAGUGGGGAAUAUUGGACAAUGGGCGAAAGCCUGAUCCAGCCAUGCCGCGUGUGAUGAAGAAGGCCCUCGGGUUGUAAAGCCACUUUUCAGUGGGGAAGAAACGCCCCUCGGGAUUAAUACUUCCGAGGAGGACAUCACCCACAGAAGAAGCACCGGCGUAACUCCGUGCCAGCAAGCCGCGGUAAUAACGGAGGGGUGCGAGCGUUAAUCGGAAUUACUGGGCGUAAAGCGCGCGUAGGCGGUCUGAUCAGCCGGUUGUGAAAGCCCCCGGGCUCAACCUGGGAACGGCAUCCGGAACUGUCAGGCUAGAGUGCAGGAGAGGAAGGUAGAAUUCCCGGUGUAGCGGUGAAAUGCGUAGAGAUCGGGAGGAAUACCAGUGGCGAAGGCGGCCUUCUGGACUGACACUGACGCUGAGGUGCGAAAGCGUGGGUAGCAAACAGGAUUAGAUACCCUGGUAGUCCACGCCGUAAACGAUGUCGACUAGCCGUUGGGGUCCUUGAGACCUUUGUGGCGCAGUUAACGCGAUAAGUCGACCGCCUGGGGGAGUACGGCCGCAAGGUUAAAACUCAAAUGAAUUGACGGGGGCCCGCACAAGCGGUGGCAGCAUGUGGUUUAAUUCGAUGCAACGCGAAGAACUCUUUACCUACCCUUGACAUCGUGCGAACUUGGUAGAGACUGGCAUUGGUUGCCUUUCGGGAACGUCUCAGACAGGUGGCUGCAUGGCUGUCGUCAGCUCGUGUUGUGAAAUGUUGGGUUAAGUCCCGUAACGAGCGCAACCCUUGUCCCUAUUUGCCAGCGAUUCGGUCGGGAACUCUAGGGAGACUGCCGGUGACAAACCGGAGGAAGGUGGGGACGACGUCAAGUCAUCAUGGCCCUUACGGGUAGGGCUACACACGUGCUACAAUGGACGGUACAAAGGGUUGCAAGACCGCGAGGUGGAGCUAAUCCCAGAAAGCUGUUCUCAGUCCGGAUCGGAGUCUGCAACUCGACUCCGUGAAGUCGGAAUCGCUAGUAAUCGUGAAUCAGAAUGUCACGGUGAAUACGUUCCCGGGCCUUGUACACACCGCCCGUCACACCAUGGGAGUGGACUGCACCAGAAGUGGUUAGCCUAA